UUAGAUAUAUUUUUUUUCCCUGUUUUUUGUGAGUGAUCCUUUUUUUGCUCCUCUCUUUCAUUUUUUCUGUUACCCAUGAAAAACCAAUGUUACUUAAAAUCCUUUACUAACUUUAUAUGCUCAAUCUUUUCCCCUCAAAUUAUUGUUAUGCGAAUUGCUAUUCAUACAAUUGCAGGAAAUUGAAAUCUCUCCUGAUGACAAAAGGGUGACUAAAGACGAAACCUUAUUGGUUGAUAGGAAUUCCGAUUUGCAGGAAUUUUGGAAUUCAUCCCCUUAUUAUAUUAAAGACGAAGACAGAGACAAAACCCGAAUGAGUAAGCAAUCUGCAGAAAUUAGAUAUCUUUGAGAAGCUUGAAAAGAAAGAUCAGGGACAAGAUGAGAAAGGUGAAAAAGAAAAGAAAGAAGAUGAAGAGGAAGAAGAUGAUGAAAGAAUCGAAGAGGGGGACGAAGAAUUCAGUGAUGAUGGGGAUUAUAAUCAGGCACUGCUGUUUUGGUGUAGGGUCGUUCUUGUUGGCAACCUUAACUAAUUAGCCUCCAAAUGGAAGAACAUUGAUUUUGAUGACGAUGAAGAUGACUUCAACAUGGCUGACGACAAUGAUGAUGAAGCGGCGUAUUAGAUGUUGUUCUUGGGAAUGCUUUUCUGGCUUUCUUCAACUUGGCAAAUGGAAGCAUUCCUUUUCCCCAUACCAAAUCAGAUGAGUUUGAGUAAUUAGCAUAAGGUUGCUAUACAGUCAGAGGGCCUUCUUUUUUGUUUUUUGCCAUUUUUUUCUGAUUGAUUAGGUAAAGAAUCAAACUGCUAACCCUACUGUUUCUUUUUAGAUACCAUGCCAUGUUGAUUUGACCGAAAGAAUCUUAUGGCUUUUCUAAAGUGCAAAGUAGGCUACAUUACAGUGAGGGAUGAUGGAACUCACUUGGUUGCUUAUAUCGGUUCGAGUGAAUUAGAUUAUCUCACUUAAAUAUAUGUUCAUCUCUUCCAGAUUGUGUCAAGCAUCCAAAGAUCAGCCAUCAAGUGUAUUGCUUCUUUGCCACUCAGCAGUUACUAUAAUGUUCGCCAUUGCAUAUUCUGUUUUUGCUUUCUGUUCACUGUAUUUCUUUUUUAAAUUUCCGUCUUGAAUUUAGCCAUUUGUAAGUUUUUGAUUGAGGUAGGUUGACAAAAUGGUUGUCUUUAUUUAGUCUGGUGAUACUUAUGUCAUUGCAUUUCAUUUGGAUUUGAUUUGGUACUUUUCUCAUUUUAAUGUUGGCUGGUCAUAUUUUGUGAGUCUGUAACUCUGGUUUUUACUUUUUCGUUUGCAGUCUCUAAAAAAAGGGGAGCUUCUCUCUAGUCAUGUAAUUUCUAACAUGGAUGCGAGUCCUACUCUGUCCUUAUUGGGAGGGGUUUUUGUGUAUCAAGUCCAUUGUAACAGGCUAAGUGUUUGGCCCUUAUAAGCCAAGACACUCUCACGUGGGACAAGAACCUCCAAUAUUUUGUUUCAUCCGAACUCGCGUUACAGCAAGACUUAUUCCUUGUCUACCUUAACAGGUUAAGGACAUCCGAUUACAGAGUAGGAUUGGAAUUGCUCUAAACUACUUGUAACGUGUUGGACAUUUGUCAUUCGAUCCACAAGAAUAAA